rnacentral:lncRNA from 1 species
UCGAUAAAUAUUUGCUGAAUGAAUGGAUCCACAAAUGGCCAGUUUAUGUGCAACUCCUGCUUCCAUUGGUUGGCCUGACAUUUUCCUUUUAAAUUGUCUUUUUUGUCUAUCCUGUGUUCAGCUCUUAAGGAAGCAGACUGAUUUUGAUAAAACUUGGUACACUGCUCCGUUUAAGUCCCAUCUUGAGUUGGAUUUAUAAUUCUGUCUGUCACCUUGAAUCCAAAGAGUGGCAGAUAAAACUUGACAAAUGAGACUUGGAGCAGAUUUCAGUCCAGUUUGGUACAUGGGUUGAUAUGCCAUUUAAUUGAAAUGUGUGGAGUCUGAAUUUCACGAACCCUUAAACUUUCACAGCUCUAUUUUCCUUUUUAAAGAGACUUCUUUCUUCAAAAAGUAACAUUGGAGACUAGAUCAGAAGUGUCUUGAGAGCAGAAAAUCCACAAAUUCACAAGGAGGUUUUUUUUUUUUUCUUUUUUCUUUUUUUUUUAGGGGGGAGGAUUAUGAGUGAUUUCAUUAUCUUCUUUUUUGGUUUUCUGUAGUAAAGCAAAUUAUUUAUCACACUAAGAAAAUGAUAUAUGUUAAAAUUUUUAUUGUUAGAAUUUAUUCAUAUUAAGAAUACUUUUAAAAUUACAGUUGAUUUACAGUGUUUCUUUAAUAUCUGUUGUACAGCAAAGUGACCCAGUCAUACAUAUAUGUACAUUCUUUUUUUUUAUUCUGUCUUCCAUCAUGUUCCAUCACGAGACUGGAUAUAGUUCCUUGUGUUAUAUAGGACUUAACACGAGAUCUAACCUCUUAACAAUUUUUUUUUUUUUUUUUUUUUGCCGGCAGCUGCAGCUCCGAUUUGACCCCUAGCCUGGGAACCUCUGAGUGCCACGAGUGCGGCUCUAAAAGGACCGCCCCCCCGCAAAAGGAAAUUCGGGGUCUCUUCUCUCUUGGUUUUCCUACGGACCUCCCAUUUUUUUCCUCGGGUGCUCACUUUACCUUCCAUAGGAGCGGUUGCUAAUCCUGCCUGGGAUUACCAACCAUUAACUGCUUUCUAAAAGGACUUAAACCACGUUUCCACAAUUUUAUCCCUUAUGACCCAUUUCGAAUGGCUGUACCGGAGGAGAGCAGGGGCCUGUCACCUACAACCUGUCUUUUUCCUCCGCAAGUGCUCAUGUCAACUGCGGAUCCCCAGGAGCUGAUUCCUCCCCUCCUAAAAUGUCCCUGGAUGGCGUCCCAGCGUAGUUGUCAUCUUGUGAGCAUGAUCGGAGUUGGAAGGUAACAGCAAAGGGAGGAAAAUACUUAUUUUUAUUUCAGAGAACACAAAGUCCUACCCGUGGCUGGUACCAGUGGAAUCCUCCCGGGAAUGACCUCACAAAAGAGCCUGCCCAAGUGAGCCUUCGAAUUCAUCACGAUGGGGUGUUGCCUGAAAAUAGCAUAGCAUUUCGAUCUUGGGGAAGGCAGCGUGGACGGCCACGAACCAGGGUCAAGUCGUCGGGGUAACAUCUGCCUGGUUAGGCAUGGCCUCCGGCACUUUCCAAACAUCUUGUGCUGCCGGUUUAACCGGUAAGAGUUUUGUGUCACCCAGUUCUGAAAAAGAGAAAAAAAA